GAAUGCAUUGACACUACUUGGGUGGUGUGAGGCAUGGGAUCAGUACACUCGAACUUUGAAAAUCUGGGAAGGAACCAUAACUUUACCAUCUUAUCCAAUGUUUUUUUGUGUACCGAUGCCUUCAGCAAUGCUAUUUUUUACUGAUACAUUUCUGAUUGAUGAGCUUCAAAUUUGAUGAGAAGAGAUCACCCGUUUAUCACAUUGUUGAGGAGACAUUCCCUCAUCUAUUCAUAACAAGCUUGUCGAGAUUGUCAACCCGCCAUUGGAUGCUGCAGAUUUGAUCCAGCUUAUUUGUAAAAUAUUUGGUCAUCCAUAUAUGUUCGUUCUUAGAUGGAGAGAUUUGCAGUCUAACUUUAUACAUGGGUUUUCAUUCUAGGUGGUGUUUUAAUAGUUAUCAUUGUUCUCAUUUCAUGUUAUGCUUAAAUUCAUUUUGGAUAAAUUGCAAAUAUCUAUCUUGAACUAUUGUCCAAGUAACUAUAUCUUGGAAAGUUUAAAAUUGAGCAAUCAACACCUUAACAUCACUUAAAAUUCCAAAUAAUCCUCUGCUGCUCAAAUUACUGUCAAAGUAAGAGCAAAUUAACAGAAAAGAGAAAUAGAAAAAGCUGAAGAGAGCUUUGGUUCACCUUUUUGUUUGUUUGUUUGUUUUUGUUUUGGAAAAGUCUUGGAGAAGAGGAAGUUUUUUACCCUAUUUUCAUCCUUUUUUCAUAUCCAAAUUGAGAAUGGCUGAUUUCUUUAUUUAGAAGAUGACUUUUAUAUAUCAUUUGGGUUUGUUGUUUGUUCUUUUCAGUUGGAGAUUCCAAAGCAGCUAUUUUAUCCAAACGUGUUCAAUGCGUGGAUGAUUCUUUUCUUAAAUAUAUUGGGGAGUUCCGUUCCCUUGGAAGGGCGGCCUGCUGAUCCCGAGCUUAGGAAAUCAUGGCGAUGGUGGAAGGUCAAGAAAUGGACGAUUCACAUUUUAAACAGGUUGUACACUUGAUUUGAACCUUCAAAACCCAGAAAACACAGCUUUUGCUCAAAUGUUUCAUUAGAAAUAUGCUGGAAAGAUCUUGGAGUGUCACAUAAAUUUGCUUAUUGUGAUUCGUGUUGGUGGCUAUUUAUCCGACAGAGUUAUCAACCUUAUUCUUCAGUACCUAAGCAACAGGUCCUAGUUGUACAUGCUUCAGAAGGAAGCUCUGGUUCAUGCCUUCCAAGAAGCCACAAAGAUUAGAUUGAAAUUGUAAUAGGUCUCUUUACCUCCUGUAUUUGUUCUAAAUUUUACAUGAAUAAAUUGCUAAAGAUUAUGAUUUCUGCCUAUGAUCUGUAAGAACUAUUUAUAUACACAGUGGUAAGCCAUUUCACUUUCAAUCAAAAAGGUUAGAA